rnacentral:rRNA from 1 species
AUUAGACUACCGUGUAGUCCUAGGACGUAAUGAUGCGAGUUAAGUGGUGGGGCAUCUACGAGAUGGCCCUGUGCUGUAGGGUAGCCGUUAAACUCGCUGCCGUGGGAGUACGGUCGCAAGGCUGAAACUUAAAGGAAUUGGCGGGGAGCACCACAAGAGGUGGAGGCUGCGGUUCAAUUGGACUCAACGCCGGAAACUCAUCGGGAGCGACAGCAGUAUGAUUGCCAGGUUGAUGACCUUGCUUGACAAGCUG